CCUACGGGAGGCAGCAGUGGGGAAUAUUGGGCAAUGGGCGCAAGCCUGACCCAGCAACGCCGCGUGAAGGAAGAAGGCCCUCGGGUUGUAAACUUCUUUUAUCAGGGACGAAACAAAUGACGGUACCUGAUGAAUAAGCCACGGCUAACUACGUGCCAGCAGCCGCGGUAAUACGUAGGUGGCAAGCGUUAUCCGGAUUUACUGGGUGUAAAGGGCGUGUAGGCGGGAGAGCAAGUCAGAUGUGAAAUCCAAGGGCUCAACCUUGGAACUGCAUUUGAAACUGUUCUUCUUGAGUGCUGGAGAGGCAGGCGGAAUUCCGGGUGUAGCGGUGAAAUGCGUAGAUAUAAGGAGGAACACCAGUGGCGAAGGCGGCCUGCUGGACAUUAACUGACGCUGAGGCGCGAAAGCGUGGGGAGCAAACAGGAUUAGAUACCCGUGUAGUC
rnacentral:rRNA from 1 species